rnacentral:rRNA from 1 species
UACGGGGGGGGCAAGCGUUGUUCGGAAUUAUUGGGCGUAAAGAGCUCGUAGGCGGUUUGUCGCGUCUGCUGUGAAAACCGGAGGCUCAACCUCCGGCCUGCAGUGGGUACGGGCAGACUAGAGUGCGGUAGGGGAGAUUGGAAUUCCUGGUGUAGCGGUGGAAUGCGCAGAUAUCAGGAGGAACACCGAUGGCGAAGGCAGAUCUCUGGGCCGUAACUGACGCUGAGGAGCGAAAGCAUGGGGAGCGAACAGG